rnacentral:tRNA from 1 species
GUAAAUAUAGUUUAUUAAAACACCAGACUGUGAAUUUGGUAAUAGAAGCUAAGACUUCUUGUUUACC